rnacentral:lncRNA from 1 species
AAAUCCGUGCUCUGGGCGAGGAUGUUUCACCACUUGACCUGUAAAAUGAAAAAUAGGGAAGCCAAGAGAAACUAAUCUGGUAUACUUCUCUAAAAGGAAACCAUACAGAGCCUCCAUGGAAUCCUGUACAUCAAGGAAACCACGAGCAAUAAUGGCAGCAGGUUCCUAGCCUUAGCUUGUAGACUUCAGAGGUGGCAGAGCUAAUGGAGUUUCAAAACCAAACAGAAUUCUAAGAAAAAAUAACAAGCUGGAGAUGAGCAGCAAGGGAAGCCAGACCCAUCAUGUGGACGAACCAACUCGGGAUCCUUAAUGAGCCAGUAUGGAAGUUGGAAGAACCCAACAUCAGGAAUCGGAGGACAAAAACCACUUGUUUGCUGCUGAUCAGUUCUAAGUGAUAACAUGAUUAAAAUUAAAAUUAGUUGAUCCUCCAAGUUGCCUAAUUACGAAAAGAACCUCUGAAUGAUUUCCUUUGUUCUACAAGGAGGCUUAAAUCCAGUUUAAGGUUAGUUUUGAACCACAUGACUGUUGAGUAGUAACCCUUUCCCAAUAAGAUGUAAGGCAGUAGCAGUUAUUCUUUCUAUUAAUCACCUUCUUUCCCAUCAAUAGGUACUGAGCAUUUGGGUAUUAUGUUAUCAAGUACAAUGUAGUAUUUAUUUUUAACUUUAUGUAAUCAAAAUAAAAGGGAAAAUCUAAUUUCUGUUUAUACCA